CUACGGGACGCUGCAGUGAGGAAUUUUGCGCAAUGGGGGAAACCCUGACGCAGCAACACCGCGUGAGUGAUGAAGGCUUUCGGGUCGUAAAGCUCUGUCAAGUGGGAAGAACCCACAUGGUGCCAAUACCACCAUGUGCUGACGGUACCACUGAAGGAAGCACCGGCUAACUCCGUGCCAGCAGCCGCGGUAAUACGGGGGGUGCAAGCGUUAUUCGGAAUCAUUGGGCGUAAAGAGCACGUAGGCGGUUUCAUAAGUCAGAUGUGAAAGCCCGGGGCUUAACCCCGGAAGUGCAUUUGAAACUAUGUGACUUGAGUAUGGGAGAGGGAAGUGGAAUUCCUGGUGUAGAGGUGAAAUUCGUAGAUAUCAGGAGGAACACCGGUGGCGAAGGCGACUUCCUGGACCAAUACUGACGCUGAGGUGCGAAGGCGUGGGUAGCAAACAGGAUUAGAUACCCUGGUAGUC
rnacentral:rRNA from 1 species